UCCGUAGGCGGGCGUCUAAGUCAGUGGUGAAAUCUUACAGCUCAACUGUAAAAUUGCCAUUGAUACUGGAUUUCUUGAAUUAAUGUGAAGUGGUUAGAAUGUGUAGUGUAGCGGUGAAAUGCAUAGAUAUUACACAGAAUACCAAUUGCGAAGGCAGAUCACUAACAUUAUAUUGACGCUGAGGGACGAAAGCGUGGGGAGCGAACAGGAUUAGAUACCCUGGUAGUCC
rnacentral:rRNA from 1 species